rnacentral:rRNA from 1 species
ACUCCUGCGGGAGGCAGCAGUGGGGAAUCUUGCGCAAUGGGCGAAAGCCUGACGCAGCCAUGCCGCGUGAAUGAUGAAGGUCUUAGGAUUGUAAAAUUCUUUCACCGGGGACGAUAAUGACGGUACCCGGAGAAGAAGCCCCGGCUAACUUCGUGCCAGCAGCCGCGGUAAUACGAAGGGGGCUAGCGUUGCUCGGAAUUACUGGGCGUAAAGGGAGCGUAGGCGGACAUUUAAGUCAGGGGUGAAAUCCCGGGGCUCAACCUCGGAAUUGCCUUUGAUACUGGGUGUCUUGAGUAUGAGAGAGGUGUGUGGAACUCCGAGUGUAGAGGUGAAAUUCGUAGAUAUUCGGAAGAACACCAGUGGCGAAGGCGACACACUGGCUCAUUACUGACGCUGAGGCUCGAAAGCGUGGGGAGCAAACAGGAUUAGAUACCCUAGUAGUCC